CGAGAAGACGUCUGCGGUAGUGCGCAACACAACAGGAGGUCAUGUUUCCAGCUCAAGGCGCGUCAGUCUUCAUCAUGCUGUCCUGCGCACUGGCACGAACUUUCUGUCAGGUUGUAACCGAAACCAACAGCAGAGCUUACCCGACUUUUGGUUCGGUUUUUCGGGCUUUUACUACCUCAAGUCCCAAAUGCGGAGCAGCAUCCGAAAAUGGAAAAGCUUCAGUUUGCCCCCAAAGCAGGAAUCCAGCAUUUCCCAGCAGCAGUGGAUGAGUUAAAAGCAAUGCAUGGUGAGUUCAAGUGUUUGUUCAGACACACAGCGUCCCACAGUGGAACAAGUUCUCCUGUAGACUUAGAAUACUGGUAGCUGUGAUCAGUAUUUUACUAUAUGUUUAAAGUGUUACCAGUUUAUUAUGUCAUUUUUAUGUUUUUAUUGUUAUUGCAGCAGUUUAUUGGGCUACUGUCAAACUGAUUGCUCUGGUUUAUGGAUGGGAAGUUGACUACUGGCAGCAGUGGUGGCCAGAAUAAGUGUCAUUUACUUAUUAAUGUCAGAACUCUACAGCAGAGGCCUGAACUAUAACUUAAAUGAGUACUUAUUUCAUUUCACAAGCAAAAAUGCCAAAUAUUCUCAGUUUUUUAAAUUUAAUCUAAAUAUCUUUUGGACUUUGUGUUGGAUGAGGAUAAUUUUGGAUUUUUGAAAGCCAUUGUUACUGUUUACAGGUAUUUUAUUGACCAAGAAUUUAAUUUGUUAAGGGAAUCAUUGGCAGAUUAAUCAAUAAAAUGAACUCAUUGUUAGUUGCAUCCCCAUCCUGGUGUCUGUCCUACAAAUAUCUGUGACUCCUGACUCUCUGUGAGGAUUUAUUUAACUAGUGAUCUGGGACUUUACUGUUUACACUCUGAAGUAAAUGAGGAACUUUAUAUUAGAACUUCAACAGUUUGUAAUCUUACCAGUCAAGUUAGCAAUCAUAAAAAAACACAUGUUCCAAGUGUUUCCAGUGCUGUGAAUCUUAGGAUUUAACACUGUGUCUAGACUUUACAAUAACAUCUAAAUGUAUUGACAUAGUGUUGCCGCUGUAAUCAACAUUAACUGUAACUGCCUGUAAA